GUAGGUGGCAAGCGUCGUCCGGAAUUAUUGGGGCGUAAAGCGCGCGCAGGCGGUUCUUUAAGUCUGAUGUGAAAGCCCACGGGCUCAACCGUGGAGGGUCAUUGGAAACUGGAGAACUCGAGUACAGAAGAGGAAAGCGGAAUUCCACGUGUAGCGGUGAAAUGCGUAGAGAUGUGGAGGAACACCAGUGGCGAAGGCGGCUUUCUGGUCUGUAACUGACGCUGAGGCGCGAAAGCGUGGGGAGCAAACAGGAUUAGAUACCCUGGUAGUCCACGCCGUAAACGAUGAGUGCUAAGUGUUAGGGGGUUUCCGCCCCUUAGUGCUGCAGCUAACGCAUUAAGCACUCCGCCUGGGGAGUACGGCCGCAAAGGCUG
rnacentral:rRNA from 1 species